UGGGGAAUCUUGCGCAAUGGGCGAAAGCCUGACGCAGCGACGCCGCGUGCGGGAAGAAGGCCUUAGGGUUGUAAACCGCUUUCAGGAGGGACGAAGCCACUCGGGUGAACAGCCCAGAGGGUGACGGUACCUCCAGAAGAAGCCCCGGCUAACUACGUGCCAGCAGCCGCGGUAAGACGUAGGGGGCAAGCGUUGUCCGGAUUCAUUGGGCGUAAAGCGCGUGUAGGCGGCCAGGUAGGUCGGAUGUGAAAACUGGAGGCUCAACCUCCAGCUGUCAUCCGAAACCAUCUGGCUAGAGUCCGGAAGAGGAGAGUGGAAUUCCUGGUGUAGCGGUGAAAUGCGCAGAUAUCAGGAAGAACACCUAUGGCGAAGGCAGCUCUCUGGGACGGUACUGACGCUGAGACGCGAAAGCGUGGGGAGCGAACAGGAUUAGAUACCCUGGUAGUCCACGCCGUAAACGAUGGGCGCUAGGUGUGGGCGGUGUCGACUCCGU
rnacentral:rRNA from 1 species